UAUACCGGAAAGCCGUAGAGAUACGGCCCCCCUUGUGGUCGGUAUACAGGUGGUGCAUGGCUGUCGUCAGCUCGUGUCGUGAGAUGUUGGGUUAAGUCCCGCAACGAGCGCAACCCUUGUCCUGUGUUGCCAGCGCGUAAUGGCGGGGACUCGCAGGAGACUGCCGGGGUCAACUCGGAGGAAGGUGGGGACGACGUCAAGUCAUCAUGCCCCUUAUGUCCAGGGCUUCACACAUGCUACAAUGGCCGGUACAGAGGGCUGCGAUACCGUGAGGUGGAGCGAAUCCCUUAAAGCCGGUCUCAGUUCGGAUCGGGGUCUGCAACUCGACCCCGUGAAGUCGGAGUCGCUAGUAAUCGCAGAUCAGCAACGCUGCGGUGAAUACGUUCCCGGGCCUUGUACACACCGCCCGUCACGUCAUGAAAGUCGGUAACACCCGAAGCCGGUGGCCUAACCCUUGUGGAGGGAGCCGUCGAAGGUGGG
rnacentral:rRNA from 2 species